ACUGAUGUAGCCUAGUGGUUAGGGUACUGCGCUACACUCUCGGUGGCCAGGGUUGAAAUCCCAGAGCGGCAGGG